AACAUCUGGCGUUACAGUUACAAAUUUUGCUGUGUACUGUCUUUGGGAAUGAGUUCCACUUGCUCCUAAGUCAGGUAGCUAGUAAGCUUCAGAGUGAGCUGUACGCAACGUGUGUUUGAUGCAUAUGGAAAAAUAGUUCAAGAAAAAUCAGCCCUAUUUGGCAACAGUGAUUUUUUUGAACUGAAGGGGCUCAUAUUCUAAAUAUGGGUGUUUUGUUGCUUUUCUUACUUUGUAGCAUUCAGCUAUUGGGUCAGCACUGACAAAACAGACAUUUGUAUAUCUGUUUGUUUUGUUCCUCUCUUGAGUUUUGUAAGCCAUAUAAUUAGUAUUGGCGUUACUGAAUUUGAAUCAUUUGUUUUUAAUUCACUUUGAGGCUGAUUGCACUUCAAAUUAGAAUUUCUCCUUCCAAAUUCUAAUUCCAAAAUGCAGUAAUACACAUAAGCUAAAUGUAUAUAUUUUAAUUACCUAAUAGAUCUUUUUGUCUUUCUUCUUUUUAAGCCUUCUGGGGACGAUGCGUGUGUUGUGCGUGUCGUUUACGUGAGCAGCAGGAUGGAAACCUGCUGUAGUUCAUUUCAUAGCUAGAUAGAUACUGCUAGCUGUACCUAAUGCUGAUAAAUGGCAAACAGAAUAAAAGUGAGGUUAAUAUUACAAAGGUUGACCAACGUUACCUUCCUUUCAAGGUGAAAUUAAUUAGGAAGUAGGGAAGUUGGAAAGCCCUAUUUAACGGGGGCAGAUAAUAAGUCUGCGUCUGUGAAAGGUUAGAUACAGAGUGCUUGGGAACGAGGAACUCUGUGCACAAAGAAACUUCUGUGCACAAAGUUCACAUGAAUCUGAAGGAGUGCAGGCUUUGGAGUUUGGGAGAGCCAGGCAUGUAGGCAAGUGGGGGAGAUGGAUUUUGUGGGCAUCUCUGGGAUGUGAAUGAUUAAAUGUGAUUUUUUCGAAACACUGGAUAUGUUCUGUGCUCUGGAACUUGCACAGGAUUUUAUCCAUUGCCAUAUUAGAUCUUGGAGUUAACACAUCUAAAAUUAUUAUUCACACUUUAUUUUUCCUCCUGACGCUUCUGUGAAAAUACCUGAAUUCCAUAGGUGAAAAAUGAAUUUAAUAAUGUAAUGAAUAUCGUACUUGGAUGUAGGCUUAUGUGUCCUAACUGUUGCAAGAAUGGGCUCAACACAGUCUGAAAGCCAGUUGCAAAGGAACGUGCCUGAUCUGCAAGGUUUGGUGUUAAAUUCAGAAGGAAGGUUACUAAGGACUGUGAGCAGACUGAAAUAUUGUGGAACUGGGGAGGUGUUUUCAUGGUAGUGAGUGGCGAUGGUCAUUGGCAACAUAUUCCUUACAAGAGAUAAGAAGGAUGUGGAAGCUGCUUGCUACUGUGCUGUUUUUUAUUGUUCUUUUUUUUUUUUUUUUUUCCCUCUGUGAAGUUACAUUUUCCCUAUUGAUGGAAAAGAGAGAACUUCCAUACACUGAAAGGUUAAUUCUGGGUUUUCAGUGAAGACGUCUACAACCUUAUGCCACCUGUAAUAACUAGUGUUCAACUUCUGAGAAUGCAUUAUUUUACUCUUCCCUGAUUAGGGGGGAAAUUUGAUUCUUUGACAGCCAGUCUGAGAGCUAACUCUUAACUGUUUCCCCAGGGAGUUGAAGACCUAUUCUUGAAUUACACCUUAUUUAAUUUGUCAAAGCCCAAAGAGAAGCCCCUGAUUUGUUGUUUUAUCCUUCCGCAGUCAAAUCUCAAGCUACAAAGUAAAUAAGCACCCUCAAGUACCAGUAUCUUAAAGUUACUUUUACCAGUUCCUGUAGUAGUGUUCUCUCAGAGACUGGAGUUACUUUUUUUUCCAGAGCCAUUGUGAUCAAGCUUGGUCAUUCAAACAGUUGUAACUACUUGUCUAUACUCCCAUUUUCCUUAUGUGAGUUACUGGGAGAAUUUGUCUGGAAUUCGUAGGAUGCCUAGCUCAGAAAGUCCUCUGCUGUUUGCAUGAAGGUGUGUGUAGCAUCUACCCCAGACAAGGUCAAGGUAUGUUCUUUCUACCUGCACAGCUUAGUGGGAAUAAAUGUUAACAUAGAUAUUGGGGCAUGGUUUUUGCAGACAGUGAAAACUUGAGAAUGUUAUUUAUUUACGUAUUUGUCUGCCAUGCUCUUUCAGAAUGAAAGGUGCUAAUUGCAAUUUUAUGGCAGUUUCAUCUUUUGUACUUCUGAUCUUAGGGCCCAGUCACUGCAAGGAUGCAAGUCUGAAGUUUGGAAUGAACCCUGUCACAAAAGCGGAGAUCAGCUUGAAGGAACCUCAACAUGUUAUAGGCAAAAGAUAGUUGCAUUUGUCUGCAAUCCAAAGGCAAUAAUUGACAUGAAAUGCUGGGUUUGUGUGUGUUCGGAGGGGAAGUGGAGAAGCAGGAGACAUAAGUGUUAGAGGUCAGUUGUUCUUAGAACAGUUGAAAAAGGAUUUUUGUUUGCUUCUUGUGGGAAGGAAAAAAAGAUCUUAAAAAGAUGGCAGUAGCUUUGGACUGAUGAGUUGACUUAGUCAUCUGUAAAAGCUUUAAAAACGAAAAGAAAAAAAUAGAAAAAAGAAAAAAGAAAAGAAAAAGGGGCUAGGGGCUGGAAAGCGGAGAAUACUCAGCUGCCUGUGUGUCCAUUCAAGGAGUAGUUCAGAAAUGUCAGGUUCUGUGCAAAUAAACAGUAGGUUUCAGUUGUCUGCUGCUAAUUAUCACCCAAAUUUGAUUUGCACGUUCUUCAAAGGGACUCAUAUCUUUCCAUUCAGUUAUUUGUUUCGCUGUGAUGAAUCUGUAAUUCAAGCCAAAUGUGGGUCAGUUUCCAGAUGGAAAAAAAAAUGCUUGGAAUGUGUUUAUCCACGGUCAUACCAGUGUCUCUUUUUAGUUUUAUAUGUAUGUUGAUUCAUGGCCUUGGUGGGGAGGUGAAUUUGUGUCAAUGUGUGAAUUGGCUUUGCUUGUUUGGUAUGUUUGCGAAGGGUUUGGUCAGUUGUAGAAGGGUUUAAAUAAUUGUUUGUAAUGGAGUGAUUCUGGUGCACUUCAGAGUAACAAGGUAAGUCUUAAAAUUAUACAGAUAAUAACAAAAUCUCACUCUAGGUACAUUUUGUUUCCUAGCUAUUAUAUCCCCUUAUGCAAACAUAGGUUAAUUGGUCUUCUGCUCACUCUUUUUUUCCAACUUUGAUAGCUUUCACAUCUUAGUAUGCAGAUCAUUUGCUAUUCUGUCUGCAGCGAUGCAGUCUUCAGUCUCUGAGGACACUGAAAUAAUAGUUGCAAUACUUUCCUCCCAUUAGAAGUACUAACUACAGAACAUAGGCUUAUAAUGAGAAAAUAUGUCAAUUUAAGAAACAUCUAUUGAGUUGUUUUACUGUGUGAGUGUUUAGCACUGCCUGGGGCAUCUUGCAGUUCUCAGUUGUCUGGGAAUGGGCUGGGGCACUUUGCUCUAGGUGUCCCUCUGUGAGCAGGGCAGGGACCAGAUGGACCCCAGGGUCCCUUCCAUCUUCACUCGGCCUGUAAUGCUGUGCCCAUAAUGCUUUAGCAAGCAUUGUGAAGACUGGCUAUUUAAUUGUGCAGGACUAAAUAUGACUUCAGUUUCCUUGAUUGCACUUUCGUAUUGAACUUUUGUUGGUCGCACAGGAGAUGGAUAUAUGGGAAAAAUUCAUUACUUUCAGUCCUUUGAAGAGAAUGUGUCAGAAGGAGGUUAAAAGAUUAAGGUAACACUCAUAUAGUUAGGAGAAAAAAAAAACCCACAAACCAACAGAAACCUGUAUGACUAUUUAUCUUGUAAAUGGAGCCUAUUUUUCAUUCUUAUUCUCUCAUUGGUUAAGCGCGGAGAACAAGUUAGUGUUGCACUAUGCCUCAUGCAAUUUUUCAUGCAGUGUGCUCCUGUACUUAACGCAGACUCACCACGUUUUGACCAUUUGGACCUGCUGCCAGCUCUGCUUUGAGGGAUCCCUGUCUCAGUGCACAGGAUGGCGCAGAUACCUUGUCUGUCAGCUUCCCCUGACCUUGCUGCCGUUGUUUGAGAAGUUGUGCCCUGACUCUAUCAAGUGUUCCUUUUGUGCUCCACAUGUAUGCUUAUGGUAUCAGUUCUUCUUAGGUUUUUGAUAGCUGAUCCAGUAGAAUCAGAUCUGAGUCCAAGGUGUUUGUGAAGCCGGCAUGGCAAUAAAGUAGGUGUCAUCUUUAGCGGAGCUGGCUCUUGACUGCGUACCAUAAAAUGCUGCUUAUUGUACCUCUCUCUGUUGGAGGGUCAGUGGUAUGCUGUAGCUCCUAACUGCAGGCAGCCACUCAUAAAGCGCUGUACCAAGUGAAUACACUUCAUCUUAGCAGGCUUUGACUGCUUUCAGUGUGAAAGAUAGGUGAUGUCCACUGUCAUCUGUGGUCUCUGAUCCACCAUUGACGUAGCUGCUGGUGUCUCCCUGGAGAACAGGCUUGACCUCACCCUCAGCCCAUGGCGAUGCAGUGCUGGCAGCUACUGUCUGUGCAGAUGGCAGGGUUGUGUUCAGACACUUGAGCCUCUGCUUUUUCUGCACCUUGAAAUAGAUCUGGGAUACAAUUCAUUAUUUAUUUAGUGCUGUAAUCGACCCAGCCAAAGAGCAAUCUGCCAUCCAGCUGGCGAGGCACUUAGCAGCCACAGCGGGGAAAUUGCUAAAUCCAACCCGCAAACUGCUGCCUACUGAGGUGGGAGCAAAGUUUGGCUGCCUCUGCUAAUUGCUAUCAGCUAUUUACAGUUGCUUGUUGCAUUGGUACAGAUUCUUGCAAAAACUGUAUUUGGGGCUGCACACUGUAUCCUGUCCUGCACAUAGGGAUGCACAGACCUGUGGUGGCAGUAUUUUCACAGACAAGGAACACCUGGCUGCGCUCAGAACUGGCUUUGCCUUCGGCCUGGUAAGUGGACUUAUGCUGAAAGCAUUGGUGCCUCCAGGUAACACGUUUUGGGGAGUGUUUGUGUUAAGCUUUGCCAAAGAAGUAAGAAGGCAAGUAAACACUAGAAUACAGGUAGAUGCUAACAUUUACUCUGCAGACCCAUUUUUCCUGAAAUAGCAUGUAUAAAUGUUUAGAGAGUUUAUGGUGUCUCCUUCUCUGGAGAUAGUCAGGGCCCACCUGGGUCCUUUCCCGCUCAACCCACUGUAGGAUCCUGCUUUUAGCAGAUGAUCUACAGAGGUCCUUUUCAACCCCUGUGAUUCUAGAUUCUGUAACCAGGCACAACAGCACUGAAAAGUGUGAACUUUUCCCAGCAGUCUUAAUGGAGUGCUGGCUUUAAAAAGCUAAUUUAGCUGCUGCUUGCUAUGCAAUUAACACCCAAUUAAUAUAUUGGGUUAGUCCAGCUGUGUGGUACCUUGCUUGGUGUCAGGGUGGGUGUUGGUACACAUACCACAAUGAAAACGUCUCUUCAAGGUAAAUGUGUCGUCAAAGAACAAACAAAACCUGAGGCUGUGGAAACUGAGGCUGGAGCAAUGUAAUGGUAUUGUGAUUCUAUUAAAAUUAAUUUGAACAAAGUGCACACUAAAAGGAAGGGAGUUGAGAGACAUGAAAUAAAAAAAAAAAAAAAAAGGCUUUGCUUAGGUUUACAAAGGGAUCAGGUAAAGGGGAACCUGACAGCAUAGUGGCUGACACAGAAUCAGAUGAAAAAGGGCAAAUAAUGAAGCAAAACUUCAAGUGAAACCAGCAAACCUUUUAUUAAGAUUAUAACUGUCCCAGAGUAAUAACAGCGUAGUAAUGACCAUCUUGUGCAGCAGCAAUAGAGUUUGGUGGUACAAGGUUUGAAGCCUACAGUAUGGUGGGGUUAAUAAUAAUCACCUUGAAUGGGGACAGUCUUUACAAUCUGUCACUAAAAAAGUAAGUGUGAAUUUCAAGGUAGAGAUCUGAGUGAUAUUUUCUUUAGCGGUCCCUCGGACACUUGUCUGAAUCUCCUGUAAAUUUAACGACGGCCUGUACUUACAAUGCAAACCCAAGACAAUUAACUGUGUACGUUCGACCAUCUGGGACAGGAAUCUCUUCUCAAAAAUUCAGGAGCUGUGGGGCUGGGGAAGGGCAUUUCUUGGGAUUUUUGCAGAUGGAUGGAGGCCGUGUGUGCCCCACCGUCUGGUUCCUCCACGAGGUGGGGGAAGCAGCUCGCGCUGCGGCCUACACCAGCUCCCCUCCUCACAGUGGGCCUCUUGCUGCUGCGCUCCUCUGGGAAGCUGUAAUGUGUUUCACGGCUGUGGUCCACCCUCAGGGCCUCUGUGAGGGGUGCCCGCAUGGCCAUGCCUGCUCUGCUGCCAGGAGAAGAACUGGAGGAUGUUUUCACUUGUGCUCCGUGUCUGCACAUGGCUCUGGCCUUGCCAGCACAUCUUGUUUUGCUGUAUGGAGUGAGAUGUGGAAGGAGCAGCCUUGCUUGGUGAGCCCUGAGCUCGCGUUUCUCAGGGCUGUGUUUUCAGUCUGCGCAGCUCCUGGAAACCGAGCCUUGUGUAACGUGCAAUUCCCUCUCCUUGUCUUCAGCUCGAUUACUCGACUGAUCCUUCUUUCUCCUUGGAUCCCUGCUCUCAGUGAAGCAAGUCAGCACAAGACAGAAAAUAUUGGUUCUACAAGGGUUAAUUCACUGGAACUACCUUGGGGAUAGAAAUAUUUGGAAGCUCUGGAAUUCCUACAUCUCCAAGUAUGUAUUCUUUUUUGCUUCACACUGAGGAGUAUAAAGUCAUAAGGAAAAUCUUCGUUUUUUCUUCAGCCCCCAUUAUUUAAUGUGAAUAAUUUUGCCCAUCAGAGAACAACCCUUGCACUGAAGAUCAACAAACUUUUCAGUACUCUGUGCAAGAUGAAAGCAAGCAAGUGGAUAAUCUUUUUUGGAGGUUUUGGCUCUGAAACCAGUGAAGCUAGGCAUGCUUAACUCCAGGCACAUGACUACUCCAGUUAACAUUUGUAAGACUUUCUGCAGGCUUAAAGGGGCUGUCCUGCAUUAUGUCCAGUCCGUUGUCCUUCCACACAAAUUUGCUGGCUGCAGUCUCAUCUGGUAUUCUGUAAGUGAGGAGAAGAAAAUGGUAUCUAGUCUCUCCCAGAGAAAGUGCCAUAGAUUUUUGCACUUUCAGAUGGUUAUUCAAUCCGUGAAUUAUGGGACGGUCCGUAUCCACAUUAUCCCAAGGGAAUCCCUCUGAAAGAAUGUGACCUCUUUGCUCUUGAAGAAUGGGAAGAGAAAGUGAGGACAACUCUGUCAAGUUGCUAAUGUUGGAUGCAGUGGGGUUCGGUGUUGAAGAUGGCCUACAGCCAAGCAGUUGGAGAUCAUGUCAUGAAAUGAAUGCACUGAAAAGUUUGAAUAAAAGCACUUCAAAAAGGGACAGAUGAAGAAAACACUAAACAAAAUUACUAUGCUAUAGGAAGCAAAACCACAAAAAGAAAAGGAAGCUCAUUAACACUAUAUAAGAUCAAUGGUUUGGUAACAAGUUGGAAGAGGCAGCACACUUCAUUUUGAGGCAGCCCCAAGGAAAAGCUACACAUGUUCAUCUGGGAAAACUUCCAGAAGAUGAAUUCAGGAUCACAGCCACAAGUCUGAGGAGAGGAAAGCCAGCCUGGGUGACCAAACGAGAUAGGAGAGGGCUGGUGCCAGCUUCCUUGUGGCUAUUCUCAGAAGCUCUCCUAGGACUGGUGGCUCCUCCCUGCUUUGGACAUGGAAUUCUCUGCUUUGUGAGCGGCAGGUGAAGUUCUGCUGUGGCAGCUCAGCCCCUGUCUCCUGGCUUGCUUGCCUCUGGGCUGAUGCUAACGUGCUUUGACUGUGGAGGGUGGACAAACAGAAAGGCAUUAGGAAUGCUCCGAAGUGCUGUGUUAGGAUUUCUUACAUGUUGUACAGAGACACCGAGUGCCUCUGUCACAGAUCAGCAUCAUCCUGAUGCACACCAUAGGCAACUGCAGCAGAAAAGCACUGUGUCCUAUGGAAAUGGCAGCUGGACAGUUGGGAGGAAUUUCAUGGGUAGAGAGUCUUUCCAUGGAGAGCUGAGCUAGCAUAUAAAACAGGAAUAGAGAGGAAUUGGGUGAUACACAUUUGAACACCUUAGGAUUGCAGCAGACCCAAUCUUUCUGUUCCCAGCAACACUACAUCUCUGCUAGCAGAGCACUUGUGUUUGAUUGCUCACUCAGGCCAGAAGUUCUGUUGCUCGACAUAGAUGUUUUGUCACUCUACUCAUGGAUAGUACUCUUGUGUUUUAGAUUGUGUAAACAACAAAGAUAUUUUUUCAAAGAGAAGUUGCAAUUGGACUUUAUUGACAUAGCAUUUCAGAGGGGCACAGAAUACCCUGAACGGCUAUUACUAACCUAAAAGCAUGAAGCCAAUUAAAACUAGUUUCAUUUACAAGUUAGACCAUGAACUAUAUUUUCUAGUAUGGUACAAAGGAGUUAUUACUAAGAAGUAGAAAGGCUGAAAAUGGAUGGUAGCAGUUAAAUGUUGAUAGAAGAUGAGACAGGCUAUACCAUCCAUGUUUGCCCAAAUAAUUAUUUGCUUCGAUAUUUAUAAAUGUGAAUAGAAAACAGAUGGUAGAAAUGGAGAUGCCUGUCACAUUUCUGUAAUGGAGAAAGGAGGAAGAUUGGGAGGAAAUCAGAAUCCUACCAAAAAAGGGGAACAGGAAAUUAAAAUGUCAGACAACGGACAAAACUGCAGGACCACACACAAAUAUGAAGAGAUUUCUCAUAGGUUCUCUAGAGCUUUUUAAAUUUAAGUCUUUUCUAUUUUUGCCACCCAGAGAGCAGAAUAAAGAUUUAAAAACAAAAACAAAACAAAACAAAAAAGCAGGAAGGUUAAAACACAUGCCCUCAACCCAGUCUAUGAGGGCACAGUACAUUGAAAAUUUCUUCAGAAACGUGUCUGAGUAGUUUGGAGAGGUGCUGCUGUUGUAUCUAGUGAGAAGACAUAGGUCAGAGGAGAUGGAGAGUUCCUGAUUCAUUUUUUGAGUUUACUGGUAUCUGCAUCUUUGUUCUUGGUGCUAAGAAUUCUAUCUUCACUCUGUAAAGGCUUGUGCUAUGACAGGCAAAGGUCUUGCAAACUAGGAUUAACGGGGAAAUCUCCAUUACGUUUGCAGCUGUUCUGAGCAGCAGUUGGUUGUGGUCUGACCUUACAUUUGGCUGUACGUAGGCUAACUCCACCCAAAGUGAAAGAAGUGAGAGAGAAGUGAGGAAGGGGAGUACUGCUGGGAAGGAGCAACUUUAGAAUAAAAUGCUAUACCUAGAAUGUCAGAUGGUGGAAGUAGGAAAAUAAAUGAGUAAAAGGAUAGGAAGCUUUCACAUUGAGCAAAUUGGGUGGAAAUGUGCCAAGUGUGUUAACUGAAGGCCAGUGAUCCCAAAUCUGUAUGGGAGACUGAUAAUCCCCCUGCAGCCAGCAUGAAGCAGCAUACUGUCCAUGCAUGUCACUAGAAGACAGCCUAAAAAGCCAAGUGGCUUGUGGAAAUCUGUGCUGCAGCACUGUCUGAACAGGAUGAGUUUGUAAGGAUAUUCUGAGUCCAGACAGGGUUACAAGUCUCCUCUUGGAAGUGCUUCUGGUUUUAAAUGUCCUUGGGAACACAGGCAGAUAUCUGCUUUGCCCAGUGCCCUUCCCACUGGGAAGGGUUUACUGCUGCUCUAAUCAUCUCUUCAUCUUUAUCUGCCCAUUGCUUCUGUCUCCUUGUAUUCAGCAGUCAUCACUGAAUAAAGGCUGUCUGCUGACCUUUCCUUCAGCAGCAGAUUCUGAGCCAAGUUGCUGCUCAGCUGAGAUAUCAGUGUUUUUCUUUCUUUCAGUCUGUCUUGUGGUAGGGUUUUGUAUGUCUUGCUUUGACUUUGGCUAAGUGCCUCACAAGCUAUGGACUCUGAAUAUCUGCCUUAUUUGGAGAAAAAUGUAGGCUCUUCCGUUGGUUUGACCUACCAGUAUGUUUUCUACUCUCCUUUGACCGUUUCUGCCUUGCCAGUCUUCCUGUUAAGUUUUCUUCCCUCUUUCACAUGUUCACUGAUCCCUCUUCCUUCCUUAAUAAAUAGAGAAAAUCUUAGUAGCUGCUGUUAAUUGCACCUGAGUCCUUCUGCUGGUGUUUGAUGUUCAUCCCAGGAAAAAGACAUAUGCAAGUUCAUACUCACACCAGGUUAACAGAUGCUGCUGCCAAGGAUUGUAUUAGAACGUAUAAAAUAGCUUAUUUUAAUCAUGCAUUUGCACAGGUCUGCCUCAUAAUGCUAUUUCCCAUUUAAUUUUGGCCUAUACUGUCAAUUCCAGCCUUUUCAGUUAGUCUUCCCAGACGUUCCAUAAGCAAUAAUCCAUCACUCUUCUGGUUCCAACAGUAAUGAUUUCAGGUUUGUAUAGGUGAAUAUAUCUUCAAAUUUGGAGGCAAAAGUAGGUCCCUCUGUUAUCUCACUGAGAUCAAGAUUAAGCCUUGUGGAUCAAAUGAAGACCACAGUCCUCUGGAGAAAUGACUUGGUCUGCAAUCAGCUUUUCUUCCAUUCAAGACGUUGGCAAACCACUAAACAAAAUGUGGAGCAAAAUGUGGCUUGGUGGAGUCCUUAGCCAAUGACAAUAAGAUGCCUACCAAAAAGAUGGGUUUUGUGGUUUCCUCUGUAUUGUCUUUUAAACAGAGAAGUGUUGGAAGGACAGGAGAAACAAGAACUCAAAUCAGAGAUGCAGCAGUUCAGGGACAGUCAGAGUGUCGGAUGGAUUAGUUCUUCAUUUAUCUGAAGUUCUGAAAUGGGACCUUUCCAUAAAUUAUUGGGUUUGUAUGACAUUUACUGUAAGCAGAUAAUGUAGGAACAGCGAAUAUGUUUGGUUUUAGCUGGAUACUGAAAGGACAAAUGCUGGGAGCUUUAGCAGGUUCCUAGCCUAGUGGAUACAUAAGUUGGGAAGCUGGAUUUCCAAAGUAUCAGAUGUGGCCUUUCCUAAAGUUGUUCAUUUACUGACCAUGUGAAGAAGAGAGGGACUAUCAGGUGUGGCAUGUAACUCGGAGUCAGUGUUUUUUCUGAUCACUGAAUGUGAUCAAACUCGCAGUUGAAGCAGGGAGUGAAGUAGCGCUUUGUGCAAUUUUCAUCUGUCUUUCACCUGUCCUUGCUUCCAUUUAAGAUAGGUCUAAAUUCUUUCCAGGGGCUACUCCAAAGAUGAACUGCAUUUGGUCCACUGACUUUGUGACUUAAAGACUGAAAAAAAGAUGUGUUACAGAAAUGUUACCUGUGAUUGACAAGAAGGGAAAAAGAAUCCAAUCCCUUGUCCCAGAAUAUUAAUCUUUGUGGGAUUUUCCCUUAUGAUUUAUUUUUUCAAGGAUCUGACAGAAGCUGGUUUGUACCCAGUAAUGGCUAGCCUGGAAAAAAUCUUGAAAAUAUUUACUUCCCUUUCUCUCCACUUAACUGGAGACUGAAAUGAGGAGUGCCCUCCUGUCCGUGCUGUCCUGCCAUUCUUCCUGCCUGUCCCCCUUCCUUGUGCUCCCUCUGGGCUGCUGUUAUUCAGAGUUGUUACUGUGAUGGAUAGGAGUCAAUGCUGUAUGGUUCGGGAUGGAGGAUCAGCGUCAGCACAAUAUCCAAGAAACUGAUGUCUUUUUCAGAGUGAGGUUUAUCCAUACUCUUAUAAUGUGCCUUUCAUAACACUUCCUUCACCUGCAGGGCUCUCAGCCCCAACCUCUGUGCUGCUGCUCCCUUUGCCUCGCUCCCCAUCCUACCACACAGCCGCUGCUGUCUGUGUGGUCUCUGAAAUUCACACGGCUUGGUGGCAACCAGUAGGGAGGGAAAAUAAUGUGUUUUAUUUAUUUAGAGUCAA